UACAGAGGGGGCAAGCGUUGUUCGGAAUUACUGGGCGUAAAGGGCGCGUAGGCGGCCUUCUAAGUCAGACGUGAAAUCCCCGGGCUCAACCCGGGAACUGCGUCUGAUACUGGAAGGCUUGAAUCCGGGAGAGGGAUGUGGAAUUCCAGGUGUAGCGGUGAAAUGCGUAGAUAUCGGAAGGAACACCUGUGGCGAAAGCGGCUCACUGGACCAUAACUGACGCUGAGGCGCGAAAGCUAGGGGAGCAAACAGG
rnacentral:rRNA from 1 species